CACAGCUCAUCCUCCAUGACUCCUCCCACUCACUAUCCGUCCUUCCCCUCCCCCAAGACCCUCUCAUGCCUUACCCCAGUCGUCAUAGCCAUGGGUCAGUUCGUGCCCAAUGAUGGUGCCAAUACCCCCGUAGUUCAGAGACCUGGGCCCACAGCAGCAGGUUAAAACCAGCCCUUACCCACUGAGAGCCCCACAUUGCUGCCCAGGCCCCUAUUGCCCCUGCCAGAUGAACAGAGAGGCCCCAGAGAUCUACGCAUCUCCAAGGUCCUCGGCAUGUGUCCCCCAGCUUCCUUAUAGACUCUGUGAAAGGGACCAGUGACCCAUGUCCAGCUGUGUUUUGGGAACUAACAGCUUACAAGGCCUGUGUUCCCAGCAUGUUCUCUCCUCCCUCGUGGCCCUCCUCCACCCUCAGCUCAGGGCUGGGCACUCACGAGGAUUUGUCCACCUCCUGUCGAAUCUUUUUGACGGACAACUGGAUACUGAAUCGGAUGCUGUUCAAAAUGUUCUUGAACCUCAGGUUUCAGCAGGAAGUCUGGAUAGCCAACCAUGACCAUCAUGUACUGGAGCUGCAGGGUGCAGGAAACAGAGGUACUGAGCUGGACUGGAGGACUUCCCACGACA
rnacentral:lncRNA from 1 species